AUGCAAGUCGAGCGGUAGAGAGGUGCUUGCGCCUCUUGAGAGCGGCGGACGGGUGAGUAAAGCCUAGGAAUCUGCCUGGUAGUGGGGGAUAACGCUCGGAAACGGACGCUAAUACCGCAUACGUCCUACGGGAGAAAGCAGGGGACCUUCGGGCCUUGCGCUAUCAGAUGAGCCUAGGUCGGAUUAGCUAGUUGGUGAGGUAAUGGCUCACCAAGGCGACGAUCCGUAACUGGUCUGAGAGGAUGAUCAGUCACACUGGAACUGAGACACGGUCCAGACUCCUACGGGAGGCAGCAGUGGGGAAUAUUGGACAAUGGGCGAAAGCCUGAUCCAGCCAUGCCGCGUGUGUGAAGAAGGUCUUCGGAUUGUAAAGCACUUUAAGUUGGGAGGAAGGGCAUUAACCUAAUACGUUAGUGUUUUGACGUUACCGACAGAAUAAGCACCGGCUAACUCUGUGCCAGCAGCCGCGGUAAUACAGAGGGUGCAAGCGUUAAUCGGAAUUACUGGGCGUAAAGCGCGCGUAGGUGGUUCGUUAAGUUGGAUGUGAAAUCCCCGGGCUCAACCUGGGAACUGCAUUCAAAACUGUCGAGCUAGAGUAUG
rnacentral:rRNA from 1 species